AUGAACAUUGUAAUAGUAUGCUAAAUAUUUGUAUCGCCGACGCUUGAAAACACAAAAUCGAUUAAAAUGCGAUAUAUUUACCUUAUAUUAAUAUUAGCUUUGCUUGCUGAAGACAGCGUUGGCAAAAAGCAUCACAAAAAACAUAAGCAUAAGCACCAUAAGAACCAUCAUCACCAGAAUCACGACAGCCAUAAAGGACAUGAAAAUAGCGUUGGCGGUCAUAGCAAAGGAACUGCAAGUUCAAGUUUCCAACAUGGAGGUGGAAACCAGUUUAAUCAUAAUAGUGGCCUUGGUGGAAUUGGUUCAGGCUGGCUUUCAGGAGGUGACAAGCUGCCGGGUAGUGGACUAGGUGGUAUUGGCGGUAGCCAUAAUCACAAGGGUGAAUUUGGUUCAAUUUUGGGAAGUGGAAAUGCUGCGGGUACUGGCUUCGGUAGUCACGUCGGUAGCCAAAAAGGAGGUGGUUCUGGCUGGCUUUUCGGAGGUGGUGGCGAGUCCGGAAAUAAGCCAGGUGGUCAAAAAGGUGGUUUUGGUCAGGAUAAUUCUUGGUCUGGCUGGCCUUGGGAACAUAAAGGCAAUCAACAAAGUCAAAGCAAUUCACAUUCGUCAUGGCUUUGGUAAUAUUGAUGAACAGAUAUAAAUGGAAUUCGGUAUAGAUCCGGUGAAUGAACAUUGUAUAUAAAUUUCUAUUACAACCGUGAUUUAACUAUUUUAACUGUUUAUGGGUACGUUACGGUCGCGGUGUAGGGUGAUUGGUAAUGCCUUACAGCCUAAAUAAUAUCUUCACUGUUUUGGGCUGAUUUUUAAUAUAGCAAAUUAUUUUGUAUUGAAACUUUUUAUAAGCAUUGAUAAGAAUGUAAGGUAUGUCGUGUUAUGUAAAUAAACGGCAUUUGACAAUAAUUGUUGAAUAAUAAAUUAUUUGAAUACUAUGUGUACUAAACUUUGAUUAAAUUAUAAUAUAUAACUGUUGUUUUA